rnacentral:lncRNA from 1 species
GAUAAAACUGCCUGUCAGUGGAAAUAAGCCUCACACACUAUCUCACUAAUAGAAGCAGGAGAAUUUUUGAGAUACCUCGGCGACUUCGUUAGGCAUGCAAGAUUAAACUCAAAUUCAUCUCGUCUCAGUCAGACGCGCCCUGAAACCGAAUUGCAGGGAAUGGAAUUUUCAGCUUCUCAGCUGAUUCAAGACAAAGGUGAGGGAGACCUAGGCAAACAUGCAGAAAUCUACCCGUGAUGGGGGCUUCCGCUGCCAACAGCCUGGGUCACUCCAACCCAUCCAUUCAGGGGCAUGACAUAUGGGGUAGACAUUCAGACUCGAGUUAGAAUUUCAGACUCAGCUCCCCCACUUGAUAGAUGAGUAUCCUUGAGAAAGCUUCUUUAUUUCACUGUUCCUUAGUUUUCUCAUCUGUAAAAUAGGGUAAAUGAUAGAACCCAUACUAUUAGCUGUUGUGGGGAAUAAAUAGCAUGUAGUUAGUGCAGCCCGUGGUAUAUAGAAAAUGCUUAGUAAUUGCAUCAGAACUAUUAUACAAGGCCUUUCCAAAGGUGCCCAGAAUGUUCCGUUGCUCACAAAACAAGGCUCAAACUCAAUCAUACUUGUAAGGCCCUGCAUACUCUGGCUUCUGAUUAUUCCUCCAGCCUCGCCUCUUGCUUUAGGCCCCAUCGACCCCCCAUCCCUGUUCAACUGCCUGAAGUUUCCCAGGUGCCCCUCCUCCCUUUUCCCUUCCCCAUCACUGCUGUCACAUACAAAUGCUCACUCACCCUUCAGAGGUCACCCUCUCCAGAACCCUCUCCUACCUCCCCAUCAGGCGGGGAAGACUGGAUUAGAGGCAACAGGAGGAAGUUUCCACAUAGGUGUGAGGCUCAGCCCUGCUGGGGAUGACACUCCUGGGAAACUGUCCUUCAAUUCUCCUCGCCCUGACUGUACACACAAAGGACUGUGCUGGCUGCCACUUGAGACUCACCCUUGGUGGGCAGGCAGGCAAUGUGUCAGCAUCUCCCAGCAUGUCAGGAGGGAACAGGGUACCCACGAUGAUGAGAGGCCAAAAGAAGUUCCUCUGAGAAUCAGAUGGGUUCCUCUUCCUGCUCAGGCAGUAUUAUUGGUAGCUGAGUAUCUUCAUGGGGAUUUGGAAUCUAUAUGUCCUGUGCAGUCUUUUUCUUGUUCAAUAAGAUCUUGCAUCCUUUACCUGUGGCAUUUGGCAUUCUUUCCUCCAAGCGCAUCACUGUCACCUCCAUUACAGUACACGGAGCCUCUCUCUUCUAAGUCCUGUGUCACGCUUGUAUUUCCCCUCUUAUGGGCCGUCUCAGGUUGGACAUGGUUAGUACUAAAGGAUAUGAAUUCAAGAACCAGACAACUUGAGCUCAAGUCCACAUUUUCCAUUUACUAGUUGUGUGAUGCCAGCCAAGUUACUCAGUCUCUCUGUACUUCAGUUUCCCUAUCUGUGCAAUGGAUAAUGCUAAUGUUUUUCUCAUACUGUUGGUAUGAAGGCUAAAUGAAUCAGCACUUGUACUGCUCUGGGAAUAGUGCCUGGUACACAGACCUUUUCAAUAAGCACUAACAAUGGUUAGUAUGACUACUUAUCUGAAUCUCCCUCCCCACUCCUCUGGGUUUUAAGAUGCAAGAGAAUAGUGGUUACCUGUAUUGUUUAUCCUUUGCCCUCAGCACAGGAUAUAACCUAAAGCAGGUCCUCUAUAAAUAUGCGUGGAAGAAAGAAAGAGAAGAGAGGGAAGAAAGGAGUGAGGAGGAGAGGAGAGAAGAGGAGAGGGAAGAGAAGGAGAGCCUUGAAAGUUGUUUAUUGUAACAUAUAAUGUUGUAAGUAGAAAAUUAUCUAGAAUUAAAGAAAGCCACAUAUGUCCAUAUCCACCCAAGUGGGACCAAAUCAUGCUUUUUUAGUUUGCCAAAAUCAUCUGUGUGUGUGUUCUAGCAUGCUCAGUCGUGUCUGACUUUUUGCAAUUUUCCAGGUAAGAAUACUGGAGUGGAUUGCCAUUUCCUAUUCCAGGAGAUCUUCCUGACCAGGGAUCAAACUCAUGUCUCUUGUGUCUUCUGCAUUGGAAGGAGGAUGCUUUACCAUUGUAACUAUUGUACCACAGUAACUAUUCUCAACCAUC